rnacentral:rRNA from 1 species
CAGUCGCCGCGGUAAUACGGAGGGUGCAAGCGUUAUCCGGAUUUAUUGGGUUUAAAGGGUCCGUAGGCGGACUUAUAAGUCAGUGGUGAAAGCCUGUCGCUUAACGAUAGAACUGCCAUUGAUACUGUAAGUCUUGAGUAUAUUUGAGGUAGCUGGAAUAAGUAGUGUAGCGGUGAAAUGCAUAGAUAUUACUUAGAACACCAAUUGCGAAGGCAGGUUACCAAGAUAUAACUGACGCAGAGGGACGAAAGCGUGGGUAGCGAACAGGAUUAGAUACCCCCGUAGUCCCUGUCUCUUAUAC